AUUGAACGCUGGCGGCAGGCUUAACACAUGCAAGUCGAGCGGGGUGAUGGUGCUUGCACUAUCACUUAGCGGCGGACGGGUGAGUAAUGCUUAGGAAUCUGCCUAUUAGUGGGGGACAACAUCUCGAAAGGGAUGCUAAUACCGCAUACGUCCUACGGGAGAAAGCAGGGGAUCACUUGUGACCUUGCGCUAAUAGAUGAGCCUAAGUCGGAUUAGCUAGUUGGUGGGGUAAGGGCCUACCAAGGCGACGGUCUGUAGCGGGUCUGAGAGGAUGAUCCGCCACACUGGGACUGAGACACGGCCCAGACUCCUACGGGAGGCAGCAGUGGGGAAUAUUGGACAAUGGGGGGAACCCUGAUCCAGCCAUGCCGCGUGUGUGAAGAAGGCCUUAUGGUUGUAAAGCACUUUAAGCGAGGAGGAGGCUCUUUUGGUUAAUACCCAAGAUGAGUGGACGUUACUCGCAGAAUAAGCACCGGCUAACUCUGUGCCAGCCGCCGCGGUAA
rnacentral:rRNA from 1 species